AGAGUUUGAUCAUGGCUCAGAUUGAACGCUGGCGGCAGGCCUAACACAUGCAAGUCGAGCGGUAGCACAGAGAGCUUGCUCUCGGGUGACGAGCGGCGGACGGGUGAGUAAUGUCUGGGAAACUGCCUGAUGGAGGGGGAUAACUACUGGAAACGGUAGCUAAUACCGCAUAACGUCGCAAGACCAAAGUGGGGGACCUUCGGGCCUCAUGCCAUCAGAUGUGCCCAGAUGGGAUUAGCUAGUAGGUGGGGUAACGGCUCACCUAGGCGACGAUCCCUAGCUGGUCUGAGAGGAUGACCAGCCACACUGGAACUGAGACACGGUCCAGACUCCUACGGGAGGCAGCAGUGGGGAAUAUUGCACAAUGGGCGCAAGCCUGAUGCAGCAAUGCCGCGUGUGUGAAGAAGGCCUUCGGGUUGUAAAGCACUUUCAGCGGGGAGGAAGGCGGUGAGGUUAAUAACCUCAUCGAUUGACGUUACCCGCAGAAGAAGCACCGGCUAACUCCGUGCCAGCAGCCGCGGUAAUACGGAGGGUGCAAGCGUUAAUCGGAAUUACUGGGCGUAAAGCGCACGCAGGCGGUCUGUCAAGUCGGAUGUGAAAUCCCCGGGCUUAACCUGGGAACUGCAUUCGAAACUGGCAGGCUAGAGUCUUGUAGAGGGGGGUAGAAUUCCAGGUGUAGCGGUGAAAUGCGUAGAGAUCUGGAGGAAUACCGGUGGCGAAGGCGGCCCCCUGGACAAAGACUGACGCUCAGGUGCGAAAGCGUGGGGAGCAAACAGGAUUAGAUACCCUGGUAGUCCACGCCGUAAACGAUGUCGAUUUGGAGGUUGUGCCCUUGAGGCGUGGCUUCCGGAGCUAACGCGUUAAAUCGACCGCCUGGGGAGUACGGCCGCAAGGUUAAAACUCAAAUGAAUUGACGGGGGCCCGCACAAGCGGUGGAGCAUGUGGUUUAAUUCGAUGCAACGCGAAGAACCUUACCUGGUCUUGACAUCCACAGAACUUUCCAGAGAUGGAUUGGUGCCUUCGGGAACUGUGAGACAGGUGCUGCAUGGCUGUCGUCAGCUCGUGUUGUGAAAUGUUGGGUUAAGUCCCGCAACGAGCGCAACCCUUAUCCUUUGUUGCCAGCGGUCCGGCCGGGAACUCAAAGGAGACUGCCAGUGAUAAACUGGAGGAAGGUGGGGAUGACGUCAAGUCAUCAUGGCCCUUACGACCAGGGCUACACACGUGCUACAAUGGCAUAUACAAAGAGAAGCGACCUCGCGAGAGCAAGCGGACCUCAUAAAGUAUGUCGUAGUCCGGAUUGGAGUCUGCAACUCGACUCCAUGAAGUCGGAAUCGCUAGUAAUCGUAGAUCAGAAUGCUACGGUGAAUACGUUCCCGGGCCUUGUACACACCGCCCGUCACACCAUGGGAGUGGGUUGCAAAAGAAGUAGGUAGCUUAACCUUCGGGAGGGCGCUUACCACUUUGUGAUUCAUGACUGGGGUGAAGUCGUAACAAGGUAACCGUAGGGGAACCUGCGGUUGGAUCACCU
rnacentral:rRNA from 1 species